GCUGCUGUAGCUCAGACGGUAGAGCACGUCCUUGGUAAGGACGGGGUCCCCGGUUCAAUUCCGGGCAGCAGCU
rnacentral:tRNA from 1 species